AGAGUUCAAGAGUACGUGAAACCGUUCAGGGGUAAACGGGAGAAAUCCUGAAUUCGAAAGGGGUUGGAUUCAUGUCUCUCCGGCGUAAUCCGGACGGUCACCCCAUGAUGGUGCUGGUCGCCCGCGGCGUUUAAUUUCGUUUGCGGUGUCGUUUCUGGCGUCCACUUGGAUGUUGGCAUGUCACCUCGCGGAGGACUGCACUUCUCCCCUAGUAGAAACGUCGCGACCCGUUGGGUACCGGCCAAAGGCCUGGGUAGGAAGACCGUGUGUCCUGUGGUGGUUGCCAUGGGCAUGCGGACUCCUGGUGACCCGGCCGGUUGCCCGACGGUAUGGCCCGAGGAGUCGAUCCGCUAAAGAUGAAACACUAUGGUUGUGAAGCGUGCGGCCUGGCACCGAUGCGUGUGGGGAUUGUGGUGUAAACCGGGGGUGCCCGUGCUAAGCACGGUCCCGGCCCUACUGCGUUGUCGGUUGCUGGUGUCCUCGCACUGGAUCGAUACUCCCGUCUGCGACGCCCACCUUCGGAUGGU
rnacentral:rRNA from 1 species